rnacentral:rRNA from 1 species
AUUGAACGCUGGCGGCAGGCCUAACACAUGCAAGUCGAGCGGAUGAGAGGAGCUUGCUUCUCGAUUCAGCGGCGGACGGGUGAGUAAUGCCUAGGAAUCUGCCUGGUAGUGGGGGACAACGUUUCGAAAGGAACGCUAAUACCGCAUACGUCCUACGGGAGAAAGCAGGGGACCUUCGGGCCUUGCGCUAUCAGAUGAGCCUAGGUCGGAUUAGCUAGUUGGUGAGGUAAUGGCUCACCAAGGCGACGAUCCUUAACUGGUCUGAGAGGAUGAUAAGUUCCACUUGAACUGAGACACGGUCCAGACUCCUACGGGAGGCAGCAGUGGGGAAUAUUGGACAAUGGGCGAAAGCCUGAUCCAGCCAUGCCGAGUGUGUGAAGAAGGUCGUCGGAUUGUAAAGCACUUUAAGUUGGGAGGAAGGGUUGUAGAUUAAUACUCUGCAAUUUUGACGUUACCGACAGAAUAAGCACCGGCUAACUCUGUGCCAGCCGCCGCCGUAACAC